AUUGAACGCUGGCGGCAUGCCUUACACAUGAAAGUCGAACGGUAACGGGCCUUCGGGUGCCGACGAGUGGCGAACGGGUGAGUAAUACAUCGGAACGUGCCCGAUCGUGGGGGAUAACGAGGCGAAAGCUUUGCUAAUACCGCAUACGAUCUACGGAUGAAAGCAGGGGACCGCAAGGCCUUGCGCGGACGGAGCGGCCGAUGGCAGAUUAGGUAGUUGGUGGGAUAAAAGCUUACCAAGCCGACGAUCUGUAGCUGGUCUGAGAGGAUGAUCAGCCACACUGGGACUGAGACACGGCCCAGACUCCUACGGGAGGCAGCAGUGGGGAAUUUUGGACAAUGGGCGCAAGCCUGAUCCAGCCAUGCCGCGUGCAGGAUGAAGGCCUUCGGGUUGUAAACUGCUUUUGUACGGAACGAAAAGCCUUCUUUUAAUACAGGAGGGUCAUGACGGUACCGUAAGAAUAAGCACCGGCUAACUACGUG
rnacentral:rRNA from 1 species